rnacentral:lncRNA from 1 species
UUGUUAAGACCUUGAGAAGAUACCAGUAGCAAGAUUAUCCCUAUCUUUUUUAGGGCGUUGAAACUUCUGAUUAGAAGGUGCCUUACAAAUUGGAAAUCUUCUUUGUUCUCUAAACCUAACAAUAAUUUUUGUUGAAAUUUAUAAUAAGCUUAAAAUUGAAACUGAGUCUUUUCUACUUUUGUAGAUGCGUCUGGAGUCAAUAUACGCUGUAAAUCAAUUUCUAGAAGAGGUUAUUAAACAUAUGGCGUAUUCACCAACUGGAAUUGGUAUGAAGUCAGAAAUUUAUUCUAAGGUUGGUAGACAAAACGGCUAGUGGUAAUCUUAGAUAUGUUCCUUUUGUUAUGUUAAUGCAGAUUCUUUAAAUUAUUGUAGCUCUAACAGAUGGGAUGAGAACUGAAGGACGUAAGAUCUUUUUUGGUGGAUUAAGCGACUCUAUGGGUGCUAUACAUCUACUGAAACCUACAAACACAUCAAUGAUGGUGUCAAAUUCUCAUCAUGUUCAAGUGAUUUCAUAUAUUUAUGCUUCUAUGAAUCUUUUCCAGGUUCAAAUCAGUAGAUAUGCGAGAAGCAGGUGAACGAUAAAUUUCCGAGAGCUUGAGAGGUAGUGGACUAGAAAUG